UGAGACCCAGCUUGCCCACGUGUGGUGAGCUGCAGGAAUGUCUCAGGAUUGCUCUUGGGGGAUUGUCUGAGUGCUGUGUGGAGCUGCAGUCGUGUCUAGAAAACCAUCCAUCGUGUCAAGUGCUAAUAACAGGAAUUAAGAAGAUCUGUAAACGCAUUUUAUGAGCAAGUAUAAUCAGUUUGGUGUCUCUUAACAGGCUGGUAUGUGAUGACUCUGGAGAGCUUCAGGAAGGGGAGGCAAGGCAGAGCAUCAUCCCCUCUGAGAGGGUAUUUGCUGAAACUGUGGGGCUUUCUUGUAGCUGUGAGUGGGGCUGCUCCAUGCACAGCUGGGGUCUGACCUCACAAAUGCAGGGUUGUUUGUUGCUGUUGUAGUAGCCAGCCACCUGGGAAAGGCCUCUAAAACCAGUUAUUUUUUGUUACUUGGCUUGGGUCCCCAUCUCUCUCUGGUCCCAGGCAGAAGCAUGGACAACACAAGAACAAUUCACACAAGGACACGUUCACACAAGGACAACAGCACCAGGGGUUCUUCCUCGUCUCAGGAUGAUCGUUAGGAAAAAAAGUUGGAUUGACACAUGGGAAAUUGCUGUACUAAGGCUGGAGUGCGUGAGGAGUAUGGCCUAGCCCAUCUCCAUUCAAAGAUAUUUCUGCCCAGGAUAAUGCCCCUCUGGGGGUGGAGAAUGAAUGGAAAUUAGUUAUAGGGAGUUCCAAGGGAAGGCAAAAAUGAAAGCAAUUUAAUCAUAAGGUAAGUAUUUAUGUUGCAGAAAUAACUAAUUGGUAUUCAGUAAUAAAGAUCUUAGGAUAUAAAACAGAAAAAUGAAAUAUUUUAUGUGUGGAAGUACUUUUGAUAGAUUCUGAAUGCUAGAUUGUAUGCAGGAGUAAAUUUAUACCAUUGGUCCUGUGCAGAAAAAAAAGAGAUUUUUGUAAGGAAAACAGUCUCAGAGAAAGAGAACCUUACAUUUACAUCUAGAUAAAUUCAGUUUUUUCCUGUUAGUAUGUUGACCAAAACCCCGAACAUUUUUUUUUAAUGCAUACUCUGAAUGCUGCUUUGCACUCUACUGCACAGAGUAGGGGCAAGUGACUGAAACAGACUGAUGGGGAAAGCAUAAAAAUUAUUGUACAAAGAGAGAUUGUUUAGAUAUCUUUAUUUAGCAAGUGAAGUACAUUGCCAAUAGGAAGGAGGAAAAUGGAGACUCAGCUGUGUUUACCAAGGCAACAGAAAUUUUCCUGAAGUGAGGCCAACUUUGAUAUGAACUAUUAAUUUUGCUUGAUUUUUGCAGGGCUACUUCUGAACAGGACUUGAAUGUCAUGCUUUUGUGUGAGGGCAUAAACAUCUUUCUUUCAGUUCAUGUUAGUUUUACAUCCUUGCUUCUAAAAACUGAUGGCUGGUCUGGCACUUGAAAGCCCAUACCAUGGCUGAGGUUGUAGCAUGACCUGAAACAAGCUGCGCCCUCCGUGCUUUUGGGAAGGGCUGGGAUCCUUGUGGCACCAAAACAGGCUCUUGAAAUAAAGCCAAGUGCAUUGUGUUAAUCCUGUAUUUUUUGCUCUUCUCUUCUUCCACCUCAGCAAAGUUUUU